CAGUCGCCACGGGAAUACGUAGGGUGCGAGCGUUAAUCGGAACUACUGGGCAUAAAGCGUGCGCAGGCGGUUCGUUAAGACAGAUGUGAAAUCCCCGGGCUUAACCUGGGAACUGCAUUUGUGACUGGCGAGCUGGAGUAUGGCAGAGGGGGGUAGAAUUCCACGUGUAGCAGUGAAAUGCGUAGAGAUGUGGAGGAAUACCGAUGGCGAAGGCAGCCCCCUGGGCCAAUACUGACGCUCAUGCACGAAAGCGUGGGGAGCAAACAGGAUUAGAUACCCCCGUAGUCCCUGUCUCUUAUAC
rnacentral:rRNA from 1 species